AAGGCCUUAGCUUAAUCAAAGUGUCUGGGUUGCAUUCAGAAGAUGUGAGAUAGAGUCUUGCAGGUCUUA
rnacentral:tRNA from 1 species